GCCAGCAGCCAUAUCACCCUUCAACUCACAACUGGCAACCCACUGAAGCUAAGCAGGUGUGAGCCUGGUCAGUACCUGGAUAGGAGACCUCCUGGGAAAAACUAAGGUUGCUGCUGGAA
ensembl:rRNA 5S_rRNA 5S ribosomal RNA